UGAACCCACAGAUCUAGACUUGAGUAUUAAUUUUUUCAGAAAUUACAGUCUUGGUGCAAUAGAAAUUCAAUAUAUGACACUGUUGGUUUUCUUGGCUUUGUGUUUGUCAAAUUUGGUAUUUCUGAUGAUAUUGUC
ensembl:snoRNA